CUAUAUUUGGCCAAACUGGUUUCAAAACUUAGGGAGAAAUUAACACAUUCCCAGAUGAACAAAGGCUGAGGGCGUUUGUUUUACAACUUCCUAACACUGCCCUAUGACAAAUGCUAAACUGAACCUUCAGGUUGAAAUGAAAGGACACUAGACAGCAACUCGAAGCUGUAUAAAGAAAUAGAAAUCUCCAGUAAAGAUAAAUACAUGGGCAGAUACUAAAGCCAGUAUUGUGCUACUGGCUUGUAACUCUACUUUUUAUUUCUCACAUGAUUGAAAAAACAAAUGCAUAAAAUAAUCAUAAAUCCACGUUAUUGGGCUCACAAAGUAUAAAGGUGUAAUUUGUGACAACAAUAAUGUAAGGAGGAGGAAUGGAACUGUAGAGGAACAGAGUUUCUGUGUGCUCUUGAAGUUGGUUCCAAUUCAAAUGAUAUUGGUUGAACUUUAGAAGGGUAAAUUAUAUGCUGUCCGCAAAAAACUCACUUGAUUUCAAGAGACACAAGUUGGUUGAAAGUUAAAGCACAGAAUAAAAUAUCCCAUGCAAAUAGUAACAAAAAGAAAGAAAGAGAGAGAAAGAAAAAGGAAGGAAGGAAGGAAGGAAGGAAGGAAGGAAGAUAGAUCUGGGAUGGCUACAUUAAUAUCACACAAAAUAAGCUUUAAAUCAAAAACUAUCACAAGAGGAAAAGGAGGCCACUAUAUGUUGAUAACAAGUUCAAUCUAUCAAGAAGAUAUAACAACUAUACACAUAUAUGUACCAAACAUCCCCCAAAUAGUGAAGCAGACAUUGACAGAAUUGAAGGAAGAAAUAGAUAGUUCUAAAAUAAUAGUUGGAGAUCAAUACCUUGCUUUCAAUAAUGGAUAACACAUCUAGACAGAAGAUCAGUAGAGAGGUAGGGGGACUGAAUAACACAUUUAACCGACUAAGCCUAACAGCCAUAUAUAGAUCACUCCACUCAACAACAGCAGAAUACACAUUUUUCUCAAGUACACGUGGAACAUUCUCCAGGAAAGACCAUAUGUUACGCCACAAUACAAGUACCAAUACAUUUUUAAGAAACUGAAAUCAUACAAAGUAUCUUCUUUAGCCACAGUGAAAUGAAGGUAGAAAUCAAUAACAGAACCAUUGGUAGCCAUUUCCCAUCAUGCCUGCCACACAUGAUAUAAAGCAAUGAAGGGAAAAACAUAACUGACCAUUUAGAAAAGUGGGAAAGAGGACAUACCAUUGACACAGAGUGUGUGCUGUUUCCCGUUGUCAGGGAUAGAAAUAAAUUAGCAUCAUUUAUUCAUUAGUGUGUUAAUUUCUUGGUCAAUCAUUGCGCAGCCAGUGUUUCUGCCUGAUGGGAAGUUUUCGUAUACUCAGUGUUGAGCGGAGACAACCUUGAAAGGGACAUUUAAAAGGAUUAUACUGUGAUGGGCUUAGCAGUACCCUUCCUCCUAUGCCAGUAUUUAGGCUGGGGUAUUUCCAUGCAGUGUGUACAAUCGUAGGCCCCAGGUCACCAGAAUUUAGUUGGAUUCGUUUUGUUAAUACAUUCCCUCAGUACUUUGUCUUUUAUUUGACUGGUGCAUUUACUUCAUUCUUUAUUAUCACUGCGAAACAACUUUGUUUCCUGUUCAGAUGCCAAAAAGUGGAUAUCAAUACCUCCUGAGUUUUACACAUCACAGGUCUGUUUUACAUAUCAGAGACAGAGACAGCAACUAUUUCCAAUGACUUUGAGACAUGCUUUGAACAUGUGAUUAACAUGUGGAGUGUUGAAAUGUGUGUCGAACUCAUUAUACUUGCUCUAAAAGGUUUCAAACUGCAAAGAUUUAAAAAUCUGUAUCUUUGAAUAGUUUUCCUGUGCUGUCCCUUUGUGUCAGACUGUUAAUGUGCAGUCUGGCACCUUCAAAUAAUGUGGCUUUGUAACCAAUUAUUUACAUGUUGUUUUAUCCACAGAGAAUCUUUUUUUUUUAAUAAAUUUAUUUAUUUUUGGC